AUGCUCCGGGAGGGCUCCGGGGACGGGUCCGGGAGGGUUCCGAGGAUGCUCCGGGAAGUCUCCGGGCGAGCAGACAAGGGCGGUUCCCGCACUGCUUGGCCAGAGACUUUUCGAGCGGAGAAACAGAAACUGAGCCCGGAGGCGCCUCCCCCGCGCCCGCACCGGAGCCGCACCGGGGUCAGCACCGGGCCCGCAGCGGGUCCCUGCUCCCCACGGGGGGCUUGGCCACACAGAAAUCUGCUGGAGGACCACGCUGGCAAGGGACAAGCGAGCCGGGAGGUUCCGGGAGUCCAUCGGGCGGCUCGCCGGCGGAGGGCUGGGGGCACCCGGGGUCUGCUCCCACCGUCGUCCCGCCGGGGAAGGACCGGCUGGCCACGGGGGGAUCGCGGCGACAGCGGGACCGUGGGGCUGACCGCGGUCAGGCGUGGGCUUCCCGGUGAAGGGCCACGGGGAAACGGCAGCGCCACGCCGUGACCCCCCCCCAACCGGUGGAGGAGGGGGGGGUAAGCCGUGACCCCUCCCCUACGGACUCGCGUGGGGCGCCCAAACCCCCCCCCCCACCGCCCUCCCACCGGCACACGAUCCCGGCCCCACUCGCACUAGGACCCCGCGGCGCCGCAGGGCCAGGGGGCGUGGCCCAGGCGAGGGCGGGGCCACGAGGGCGGGGCCCUGUAAGCGCGCCGGGCGGCCCUCCCUUCCCAGAAGGCCUUUCUCCACCGGGCCCUCCCCCUUUGGCAGCUGCUCUGCCGCAAAUUGGGGCAGCCGCGGGGCGGCCCCCGCCCGCGCGGCGCUCAUUGGCUGCCGCGCCCGCCCAUCACCGCGAGGGGGCUUCGCCGUUACCGGGAGACGGCCACCAUGUUGGAGACGCCCGGCAUGGCGGCGAAGGAGAAGGAGGAGGCGGCGGCGGCGGCGGAGCUGGCGGAGCUGCUGUCCCCGGCGGCGGGCCAGGCGGCGCGGGAGGGCGCGGCGGAGGCGGCGCUGGCCCUGUCGGGGGAUGCGGCGGGGCGGCGGCUGCUGGUGGGACAACCGGCGGCCAUGGCGGCCUUGCUGGAGCUGGCGGCGGGGCCGUCCCCGCCGGCGGCCCGCCACGCUCUGGGCUGCCUGGUGAACCUCUCGGCCGAACCGGCGGCCCGCGAACCCCUGUUGGCCGCGCUGCCAGCUCUACUGGGGCUGCUGCCGGGCGGGCCGGCCUGCGGGGUGCUGGCUAACCUCUGCCGGGAGCGGGGGGCGGCUCGGCGGGUGCUGCGGGGCCUGCGGGAGGGCGGCCCCGGGCUGGAGCCGCUCCUCCAGGCGCUCGGUCAACCCCGGCCGCCUUCCCAGCUCGGCCCGCUGCUCUGCAACCUCAGCCAGCUGCCCGAGGGCCGCCGUGGGCUCCUCGAUCGCUCCCGGUGCUCGGUGCAGCGGCUGCUGCCCUUCACGCAGUACCAGGACUCCGUCGUCCAUCGCCGGGGAGUCGUGGGGGCACUGAGGAACUGCUGCUUCGAGUACGAGGACCACGAGUGGCUGCUGAGUGAGGAGGUCGACAUUCUGCCCUUCCUCCUCCUGCCUCUAGCAGGCCCCGAGGAAUUUCCUGAGGAUGAGAUGGAAAGGCUGCCCGUGGACCUGCAGUACCUGCCGCAGGACAAGCAGCGAGAGGAAGAACCUGACAUCCGGAAGAUGCUGCUGGAAGCCAUCAUGCUGAUGACACCGAGCUGGGAGGAGCAGCUGGUACACCAGAGGGUCGUGCUGGCAUCCAGAGAGACCUCGCCAGGCUGGAGAAAUGGGCCGACAAGGACUUCGUGGAGCUCCUUGAGGAGAAGGAACGACCUUAGGCAGCAGGACGCAGAGGGGAACGAUGGGCUGGAAAGCAGCUCUGCGGACGAGGCCCUGGGGGUCCUGGUGAACGCCGCGCUGAACACGAGCCAGCAGCAGCACGCUCCUGUGGCAAAGGCGGCAAAGGGUGUCCUGGGCUGCAUGAGGAGCAGUGUCACAGCAGGACGAGGGACAUCUGCUCAGCACUGAUGAGGCCACACUGGGGGUGCUGGGUCCAGUGCUGGGCUCCCCAGUAUGAGAGAGACAUGGACACAGUGGACAUAGUCCAGGGAAGGGCCACCAAGAUGCUGAAGGGUCUGAAGCAUCUCUGCUGUGAGGAAAGGCUGAGGGAGCUGGGACUGCUCAGCCUGGAGAAAUGAAGGCUUGGGAGGAUCUCGGCAAUAUCUAUAAAUGCCUGCUGGGAGGGAGUGAAGAGGAGCCAGACUCUUUCCAGUGGCGCCCAGUGCCAGGACCGGAGGCCACGGGCACAAACUGGAACACAGGAGGUGACACUUGAACAUCAGAAAACAAUUUUUCACUGUGAGGGUACUGGAGCCCUGGCACAAGCUGCCCGGGGAGGUGGCGAAGUCUCCGUUCUUGGAGAUACUCAAAGCCCAUCUGGCCAUGGUCCUGGGCCACCGGCUCUGGCUGGCCCUGCUUGAGGACCAGGUAUCCCUUCCCACCUGUGAUUCUGUGGGUGACAAGGACCAAAGAGCCGGGGUCCCCCUCUCCCCACGGGCAGGCUCUCCGUCCCCAUUCCUACGUUGGAGGGCUGUCAGAGCAGCUCUGUGACAGCCCCCCCAUGCCGUGGGGCAUUUCAUUUCCCACUCGGAGAGGCACCAUCAGCCCAGCGGAGAACCCGGCCGAGCCCUGCCGUGCAGCAUCCCUUGCCGGGUGCUCUCAGCACUCUCACGGCCGUGCCGGGCUCCCCGCCCACAGUGCUGCUUUUUGUCUCUUUCGCAGCUCACAGCCACCAAGGCCGGCCGGCACACGGUGAGGGAGAAGGGGACGUACCUGAUCCUGCGGGAGCUGCACCGCUGGGAACGGGAGCCCGCCGUGCUGGCUGCCUGCGAGAAGCUCAUUCAGGUGCUGAUCGGGGACGAGCCCGGCCCAGGGAUGGAGAACCUGCUGGAGGUGAACAUCCCCGAGGAGGUGGAGCAGCAGCUGCAGAGCCUGGAUCGGGAGGAGGAGGAGGAACAGGAGCGGU